UCUUAUAAUACCUAGAAGUCAGUCCAUCUGUUCCAGGAGACUUUCCAACCUUUAACUGCUUAAUAGCUAAGCCAAUUUCCUCCACAGUAAUUAAACUAUUCAUACACUUCCUAUUUUCUAAUGUUCGUGUGAUUCGUGCUCUGUACCGUGUCUUCUUUACUAUUUCCUUCAUUCUUUCUUUCUUAUUUCUGUGUGUGUGUGUGUGUGUGUGUGUGUGUGUUUAGGUCAGACAAACUUGUUGCAAGAUGACUCAAAUCAAGAAAUAAUUUAAAAAUGAUGCUAUCUAACCUUGCUGGAAUUUCAAGUAGCUAUGCAAUGCAUGCUUUGCCAGGAAUUUUAUUCCAGCAACUAAACUUCAGACACUAAAUUACAAAAACUGUCUCUCCUUAUCUUGGCUGUUCUUUCCUUUCCCUCUGCAUGUGACUUUGGUCUUUAAAAAGCUUCAGCAGCAACAGCUAUUACCUCAAAGUGACUCUCUGUUCCUAAUAAGGGCUUUUAACACCUCCUAAAGAAUUGUUGAUUAACAACAAAUGGAAAUGGAAAGUGGUACAUUCAAAACUGAUAAAUGAAAAUAUUUCUUUAUAUAAUAAGUCAGCAGAAUUGAUUGUUUCAUCAUUGAAGCAAGAGAUUAACAGCAUUAAAUAAAGGGAUAAAACAAUCCUUUCAUCAAGCCUGUCUAGUUAUAAUGGCAAAAUCUCUACUUCUCAUCGCCAAAACACUCUCACCAAAAUGCUAAUAUAAAUCAGAGCUGAAAUACAUAUAAUAGAUAACUGCAUUAUCUAUGUGUAAUUAUUCUAGGGAAAUUAUAAUUAAAACUAUUUUAUUUUGAACAUUUAUAGGUCUAAGACUGAAUCAGAAUCGUUAGCUUAGAUCUGGAAUUAAUUGCUUAUAUAAAGUUGAUUGUUCACUGACAUCUGCCUGAGAAAAUGUCCCAAGCAAAAGAUUAAGUGAACCCAAUGAAAAAUAUUGGCUGUGUUCACAUAAUAUGCUAAGUUAAAACUGGCAGGCUAAUUUGUGGAUGGUUUGGUAUACUAUAUAAACCCAACCAUGUGUUUAGUGUAUGGUUCACUGUGUUUUACCCAUCUGGGUAACUGGGUUAAUUCAAUAAGUCAGUUAAGCAGGUGAUAGGCAAAGAAGUGAUAUGGCAAAGUAGAAUCACUUUAGGGAAAUGGUUUCAGGUAAGUUCCUCAUUUUUAUACAAAGAUUUAGAGAACCUUUGCCUGAAAGCCAGUUAAAUGGCUGAGAGAUGAUUUCUUGUUUUUUCAUCCAAUAAUUCUUUAUGAUAUUUCUGUGCUUCACCAUAUGAGGGGAACCAAAAAAGGAAGAGGCAAAGAAAGUAGGUGCACUGCAGGAAGGAGAAAUGUAUUUAGAGCACCUUAAAAAAGGAAGACCUGGAGGAACAUUGUCCGUGGGGUUGCGAUGGGUCAGACACGACUUCACAAUUAACAACAACAAAAAGAAAAAUGGAAAGCAAAGAGCUUGAGGCAAAAAGGAUACACAGAAAUAAUAAAAAUUAAAAGGUCCAUUUGGACAUUAAGUUGGGAAGACCACUUUAAGGCAUCAAUUGUCUUUUGAAGACUAAUUUCUUUUAGAAGCUCAGGAGGUCUCAACCAUGGACCCAAAAUCUCCGAAGAGUUUUGUGCUAGACACUCUGCUAGCUGAAGUUCUUGUAGUCAACCAGAUGUAGCUGCCAGCUAGUUAAUCAGCUUUUGCCUUAGGACCUACAUGGAAUGUAUCUUUAGAAUCCAUAAUAUGCAUGUACUUUGUAGUGGAGAUAAAUGACUGUCUUGUAUUGGACACAAUGAGCUCAUGUUGACCAGCCUCUCUAAUCUUCAGAAUACAUUAAAAAAAUGUAAAAUUUCAGAUUUUCUUUAACUUUAUCAGUUAUGUUCUUUCACAUAGACAGAUUUUCUCCAUGGCAUUCUGUCCUUAACCUGGUCCAAUAGAACUUAUGUUACCAUUGUAACUGUAUCCAUCUACCUUGCUACUAGUCAUCUUCUUCUCUUUCCUUCCACCUUUCCCAGCAUUAGAUCUUGACAUAAAAUGUCUGAAGUAUGAUGAUUUGAGCCUGGUCAUUUUUGCCUUGAGUGACAACUCUGGAUUGGUUGGUUGGAUAAAUCAUUUGUUUCCCUGGCUGUCCAUGGGCUACUCAGAAGUCUUGAACUUUGAACACCAAAGUUCAAAAGUGUCAAUGUGCUAUGAACUAGGACAUGCAUUCAAUUUUGCAUCUAUAAAGUUUGUUGGAUAAGCAGGCACAAAAACAGCCAGGGAAGUGAUUGAAGUCUGGGAAAUGGGCCCCUUGUCAAUCAACAGGAGUGCUGAUUUACCACCAGCCUAUCAUGUACUGUAAUCAUAAUUUUGGGAUUUGCUCGUAAACACUUUGAACGAGCGUUAAGUGAAUGCUCGUAACUCGGGGAUUACCUGUAUUUAGAAGGUGAGGGCUGGGCAGCACAAGCAAAUGACAGCCAACAACUUAAUAGCCAGACAUCAACACCCAAAUCAACAUCUAAAAAGCCACAUACAACAGGCACUAUAUAAAGACUACACACAGAACAGCACGUACUCUGCUAGAGAGAAGUUCCCUGAAGAUGGACUCCAGUACAAGUCUGAAAGCUUGGAAGAGAAAACCUCUGGUCCCAGUGACUGGCCCAGACUGGAUCCUGCAGUUCUUUCUAUCCUGUCUCUUCGAAGUCCAACUUUCACUUCCAUAAAGUAUCAAGGGGAAUUCCACUCCCUGUACUAUUCUGAUUUUGUAAUUAUAAAUACAUUGCAGCAAUUGACUAUCUUUUCCGAGGUCUUCGUAACUACUCUACCAAGUGCUAAUUUGCAGCAAAUUUCUUGAAUACUUGUUUCUUUACUGUCGAUGCUUGAGUCACACAGGCAGAAGCUACCUACCACUUUAGUAUUGUCCAUGUUAAUUCUAAGACUUCCUGUUUGGCGUGCAACGAGACAGUGGAAGAACCCGGGACUCCGGCUUCCCAGCUCGAUUUCUUUCUGCCCAGUGACCCUAAGGGGUCGGAAAGGUGCCCUGGAGGGGCAAUGAAGAAGGAGGGAUGUUUUAGGAGUCUGGACCAGAUGACAAUCGGUCUGGACGGACUGAAGAAACCCACUGAAAGGACAGAGGAGAGGCUGCCGGGUUUGCCCAGGCAGCCCAAGUCGUCACCAGCUGGAAGAAAAGCAAGGAGCUGUGGCGCUCCGCCAAACAGCUGACUGUCAACAGUGUGCUGAAACUGGGUAACAAGCAUCUUAGGACAUCAGUCUGGUCCAACUGGCACAAAUAAUGGCUCCUGUUUGAAGUGUCCACAGAAAACAGCCAUCUUCCUUCUGUAAUUUGGUUGUCUCAUAUGAACUGAAUGACCAUGCAAUCAUCCAACAAUUUCACAGGACUCAUGCUCCAAUCUGUUCCCCAAUUCCUAAUAAUCAUUAUUUUAUUAUCUGAAAAAAUAUGUGAAUGCCUUGUAAAGCGUGGACAACAUUGUACAGAAAUAAGGUGGAAAUAUGUGAUGGAAACCAUUGGAUGGAAGUACUGAUAAUCUUGGAAGAGAUGCUUCAUCCUGCUUUAAAUAAAUUUGCAUUAUUCUGGAAGUAAAAAAUCUGCAUCUUGGGAGUUGUUCCUCAACCAAUUUGUGCUUAUAUAAUUGUAAGUUACAAUGAUAGAAAAAUAUGCCUCCAAUCAAGUCUAUCUAAUAAUUAAUUUUAAUUAGUUAAUUCACCUUCCAAUGACCCUGACCUGAUAUAGUCUCCCCAUCACAAGACCCAUUACCAGCCUCCCUCUGAUGACUCACUCCUGACCCACUAAUUCACACCCUCCAAUCACCCUUACCUGAAGUACCUCACCAUCACAAGCCAGUCUCUGACGACUCACCAUCUGGCCCAUCACAAGACCCUCACUUGACACUCACACACUUGAAGCCCUUAUAUAAGUAGAACACUGACAUCCCGUAAACACCGCUGAAGAUGUUACCUAGCCUGGUAACAAAACAUUUGGAAACCAACCCUCAAGCUCAGAGAACGAACCUUCACCCUCAUCCUACACCCAAGCUACAGAUAUCUGCCACUAUUGCAAACUAAUUAAUUUGUUAAUGAACUGUUUUUUUCCCCUCAAAAAUCAACUUAAUUCUGACUAUUCCUACUGCAGACUCUCCUCCAUUGAACUAUUGUAAUGCACUUAAAACCAAGCUGCGAUUGAAGUCAACCUGAAACAUCAAUAGUUUCAGAAGACUGUGGUUACAUUUAGCAUGGAAUCAGUAAGGUAGCUCAUAUAAUGACAAAUUCAGUUCUGGGCUCAACUUAAGGUGCUAAUUACACUUUUAAAACUUGAAAUGACACAACCCCAGUUUAUAUUCACAUCUGAACGUCUUGAGAUCUGAGGCUCUCUACAAUAUAGUAUCUCAUUAACAAUGGAACAAGAGCUGGUAAGAAUGAAUAAGAAGACACUUUCUGUUGGACUUCUCAGCCUUCUAAUGGAGGUUUAUUUGAUGUCAUUACAGUCUAUUAUCAGUCUCUUAAAUUCAUCUUAUUGCAGUGUGCAUUAUUUAGUUGAAGUACGUGAGUGUGUUUUAUUUAUGACCUAUUGAGAGGUUUUGUUGUUAUGCAUCAUUAUGUUAUGGUUGCAUUUUAACUUGUUUUGGGGUUUAGAUUUUUAUUUUGUAAGCCACCUUUCAAAGAUGUGCUUCUGAAAUAAAGUAAUGUGAAACUACUGGAUGAAUCAGAUAAUUUUAUAAGGAGAUAUGUUCCUUGAUUCAUUCAUGCGCCUCAAUAUCCUGGAACAAAGGUCAGUCAAUCUCUCUUAGGUCAUGCAUAUUCAUAUGUAAAUCAUGCAAAUAUUGUCCCAGUACAAUGCCAACAUCAAAUCAAAGAUUUAUACUAUUCAGUCAUGAGGUAUCAAGAACUCUGCUUCCAAAUAACUGCCAAUGUUUUCCUUCUCUGCUUCUCCCUUAGUGCUAGCCUCAAUACUUUUAAUUGCCAUUUUUUUCAGUCCAGAUCUUUAUAAUGCAUACUUAUAAUUUUUUCCUCAUAUGUCCCAAAGGUGCUUUUUCAAAAGGCAACUUUUUCCUUGAAGAUGUUUUGCUUCUCAUCUGAUCUGAAGAAGCUUCCUGGAUGAGAAGUGAAACAUCUUCAAGGAAAAAAACAAAGAAAGUCCAGUUGCCUUUUGAAAAAAACACCUUUGGGACAACCGUGGUCUGGAUGACUGAGAAUCACCAUAGACAUUCCUUCUCAUAUAUUAAGAACACAUGGGAGAUUCAUUUGACCAGACUUUCUAAUAACUGUUUUGUGCCUUGGGUAUUAAAUUUUGUCUGCAGUUUGUAGAGUUUACAAAUUAGAGGUUGCCAAUUACUGGUUAGACCAGGGGUCCUCAACCUUGGCAACUUUAAGACUUGCUUUGCCGGCUGAGAAAUUCUGAGAGUUGAAGUCCACAAGUCUUAAAGUUGCCAAGGUUGAGAACCCCUGGGUUAGACUAUGAAAAAUGUGGUAACAUUUCUAACAUGCAUUCUCCCUCCAUUUCUGGGAGGCUUCCCCAAGAAUGGUAUAAGUUUGGCUAAAGCUUCCCAGAAAAUAAGUAUGACAUGACUAGGAGUAAAUCUUUACUGGAACUCAAUCGUUACAAAUGACGUAGUCUUAUAUAAGGCUGAAUCCUGCAUUUAUAUUUUCCCUGGCUUCAAAAACAAUAUUUUUCUCUAUAUGUGUUUCAUAGUGUAUAAUAGCAAGUUGGUUAUUAUUUCUUUUCCCAUGCUCACUUAUAAAUAUUCUGCAUUCCAGCGCUGGAAAUUUACAGCUACUAGUGGAACCCUGACAAUUGCUGAGACAAGAUGCUCCAGAGCAUUGGAAUAGCACUCCUGAAAUGGUACCCCUGAUGCCAAUAUAAGUACUACAUUCUUUAAGUUUCAACCCACUUCAAUUACAAAUAUAUCUAUUAACUGGGAGCUAGAUUGAUCUUCCAAGGGGAGGAAAAAUUGCUUCCACAUGCAAGGGACCAAUUCCUCUGUAAUUAUAGUUUUCUUUCUUUUAAAAAAAUCCAUUUAUUGUACUGGAAUGACAUUUUUGGUAAUUAAAUUCCUUUGCAUGUAUAAAUAUGUAUUAUAUUAACAUUAGUGAAUAUUUCCAGGUUUUUGAAAACAUACAGUUCUUGCCACAGAAUCAUUACUGUUAAAUGCUGCAGUCU